GAACGCUGGCGGCGUGCCUAAUACCUGCAAGUCGAGCGAACGGACGAGAAGCUUGCUUCUCUGAUGUUAGCGGCGGACGGGUGAGUAACACGUGGAUAACCUACCUAUAAGACUGGGAUAACUUCGGGAAACCGGAGCUAAUACCGGAUAAUAUUUUGAACCGCAUGGUUCAAAAGUGAGAGACGGUCUUGCUGUCACUUAUAGAUGGAUCCGCGCUGCAUUAGCUAGUUGGUAAGGUAACGGCUUACCAAGGCAACGAUGCAUAGCCGACCUGAGAGGGUGAUCGGCCACACUGGAACUGAGACACGGUCCAGACUCCUACGGGAGGCAGCAGUAGGGAAUCUUCCGCAAUGGGCGAAAGCCUGACGGAGCAACGCCGCGUGAGUGAUGAAGGUCUUCGGAUCGUAAAACUCUGUUAUUAGGGAAGAACAUAUGUGUAAGUAACUGUGCACAUCUUGACGGUACCUAAUCAGAAAGCCACGGCUAACUACGUG
rnacentral:rRNA from 1 species